UCCACCCCAAAAUCCCCAAAAUCCUCCCCAAAUUACCCCAAAAUCCACCCCAAAUAUCCCAAAAUCCACCCCAAAUACCCGAAAAUCCACCCGAAUUACCCCAAAAUCCCCAAAUUCCACCCCAAAAUCUGCCCUGGGACCCCAAAAUCCUCAAAUUCCACCCCAAAUACCCCAAAAUCCACCCCAAAUACCCCAAAAUUACCAAUAUCCUCCCCAAAAUCUGCCUUGGGACCCCAAAAUCCCCCAAAUCCACCCCAAAAUCCCCAAAAUCCUCCCCAAAAUCUCCCCUGGGACCCCAAAAUCCCCAAAUUCCACCCCAAAAUCUGCCCUGGGACCCCAAAUCCCCAAAAUCCUCCCCAAAUUACCCCAAAAUCCACCCCAAAAUCCCCCAAAUCCACCCCAAAAUCUCCCAAAAUCCACCCCAAAAUUUAACCUGGGACCCCAAAAUCCUCCCCAAAAUCUGCCCUGGGACCCCAAAUCCCCAAAACCCUCCCCAAGUUACCCCAAAAUCCACCCCAAAAUCCCCCAAAUCCACCCCAAAAUCUGCCCUGGGACCCCAAAAUCCUCCCCAAAUUACUCCAAAAUCCCCCAAAUCCACCCCAAAUACCCCAAAAUCCCCCAAAUCUACCCCAAAAUUUACCCUAGGACCCCAAAAUCCUCAGAAUCCACCCCAAAAUCCCCCAAAAUCAGUCCUGGGACCCCAAAAUCCACUGAAAAUCCACCCAAAAACCCCAAAUUCCGACAAAUCCAUCCCGAAAUCCCCAAAAAUUUGCACUGGGACCCCAAAUACCCCAAAAAUUCCCUAAAAUCCAGCCCGGGACUCCAAAUUCUGCCCCAAAUCCCAAAAUUCCACCCCAAAAUUCCCCAAAUUCUGCCCCAAAUCCCCAAAAAUCCCCCCUGGGAUCCCAAAAUCUUCCCCAAAACCCCGAAUUCCCACAAAAUUCCACAAAAUUCCCCCAAAUCCACCCAAAUUUUCCCAAAAUUCCCCCAAAUUUCCCUUUUAAAUCCCCAAAAAACCCAAAAAAAUCACAAAAAAAUCCAGAAAAAUCCCCAAAAAAACCCCCAAAAAUUCCCCAAAAAUUCCCAAAAAAUUCCCAAAAAAUUCCCAAAGUUCCCCAAAAUCCCCCAAAAUUCCCAAAUUCCCAAAAUCCUUCCUGGAACCUCCAAAACUCCCCCAAAUUUCCCUUUUAAAUCCCAAAAAUACCCCAAAAAAUCACAAAAAUAUCCUGAAAAAUCCCCAAAAAAACCCCACAAAAUUCCCAAAAAAAUUUCCAAAAAUUCCCCAAAAUCCCCCAAAAUUCCCAAAAAUCCCCCAAAAUUCCCAAAUUCCCCAAAUCCUUCUCGGAACCUCCAAAACUCCCCCAAAUUUCUCUUUUAAACCCCCCAAAAAACCCCAAAAAAUCACAAAAAAAUCCAGAAAAAUCCCCCAAAAAAUCCCAAAAAAUUCCCCCAAAAUCCCCCAAAAU
rnacentral:lncRNA from 1 species